AUCUGGUUGAUCCUGCCAGAGGCGACCGCUUUUGGAGUUCGAUUAAGCCAUGCGAGUAGAAUGAAUUAGAUCAUUGCGAACUGCUCAGUAACACGUGGAUAACCUGCCCUAUGCUCUGGGAUAACCUUGGGAAACUGAGAAUAAUACCGGAUAGAUCACAACGCCUGGAACGGUGUGUGGUUGAAAGGUCACGGCAUAGGAUGGGUCUGCGGCGUAUCAGGUCGUAGGGGGUGUAACGGACCUCCUAGCCAUCGACGCGUACGGGUUGUGGGAGCAAUAGCCCGGAGAUGGAUUCUGAGACACGAAUCCAGACCCCACGGGGUGCAGCAGGCGCGAAAACUUCACACUGCAGGAAACUGUGAUGAGGGAACUCCAAGUGACUACACAUUUGUGUAGCUCUUUUCUUAACUAUUAAUCGGUUUUGGAAUAAGGGCUGGGAAAGACCGGUGCCAGCCGCCGCGGUAAUACCGGCAGCUCGAGUGGUCGUCGCUUUUAUUGGGCCUAAAACGUCCGUAGCCUGUUUGGUAAAUCUGUGGGUAAAUCAGCCAGCUUAACUGGUUGAAUUCUGCAGAGACUGCCAGACUAGAGACCGGGAGAGGUGUGGGGUACUC
rnacentral:rRNA from 1 species